GUAGAUAGGCUGGGGGUGGAAGUGCAGCAAUGCAUGGAGCUGACCAGUACUAAUCGGUCGAGGGCUUAUCCAA
rnacentral:rRNA from 1 species